AUUGAACGCUGGCGGCAGGCCUAACACAUGCAAGUCGAACGAGUGGCGGACGGAUGAGUAAUGUCUGGGAAACUGCCCGAUGGAGGGGGAUAACUACUGGAAACGGUAGCUAAUACCGCAUACCAUCGGAUGUGCCCAGAUCGGAUUAGCUAGUAGGUGGGGUAACGGCUCACCUAGGCGACGAUCCCUAGCUGGUCUGAGAGGAUGACCAGCCACACUGGAACUGAGACACGGUCCAGACUCCUACGGGAGGAAGCAGUGGUGAAUAUGUCACAAUGGGCGCAAGCCUGAUGCAGCCAUGCCGCGUGUAUGAAGAAGGCCUUCGGGUUGUAAAGUACUUUCAGCGAGUAGGCGUUACUCGCAGAAGAAGCACCGGCUAACUCCGUGCCAGCAGCCGCGGUAAUUC
rnacentral:rRNA from 1 species